rnacentral:rRNA from 1 species
GGACUACUGGGGUUUCUAAUCCUGUUUGCUCCCCACGCUUUCGCGUCUCAGCGUCAGUCACCGUCCAGAAGGCCGCCUUCGCCGCCGGUAUUCCUCCCGAUAUCUACGGAUUUCACCCCUACACCGGGAAUUCUGCCUUCCUCUCCGGGACUCCAGCAAGGCAGUUUCAGCUGCAAUUCCGGGGUUGGGCCCCGGGCUUUCACAACCGACUUGCCAAGCCGCCUACACGCGCUUUACGCCCAAUGAUUCCGAACAACGCUUGCACCCUCCGUAUUACCGCGGCGGCUGGCAC